rnacentral:lncRNA from 1 species
GUUCGCCUGUCGUUGAAUCUGUUUCUGUCUCUGUUCCUGUGGUUCUUCUGCUGAUUGGAGGAUCUGUAGUGGUGCUAUACAGACUCAGAUACUACAAAACACAAGACUCUUCAUCUUCUAGCCAACAUCAAGAAAAAACUAAAACAGCUGAUGAUGAUGAAGAUUAUGAUCCACCUGGAGACCAGAGCAUCAACAUGGAUCCAAUCUACGAGGAGAUAGACCUCAACACCAACCAAUCAGAAGCAAUAUACCAGAGUCUGAUCCCCAAUGCCAACCAAUCAGAUUCAGUCUAACAAACCCUAAACCCCAAUGCCAACCAAUCAGAUUUAGUCCAACAGAGCCUAAACCCCAACAACAACCAAUCAGAUUCAAUCGUCAAUUAUCAAUAGAAUAGAGACAGACAGAUUCUGAAACACAACAAAUUAGACUUAGUCUAAUAGAGUCUAGGCCAUUACACCAAUCAAUCAGAUUCAGUCCAACAUAACCUAACCCCAACACCAACCAGUCAGAUUCAAUAUACUAGAGUCUGGACCUCAACACCAACCAAUCAGAUCCAGUCUACCAGAGCCAAAAUCCAACUCAAACCAAUCAGAUUCAGUCUACCAUAGCCAAACUCCAACUCAAGCCAAUCAGAUUCAAUAUACUAGAGUCUCUGCCUCAACACCAACCAAUCAGAUUCAUUAUACCAGAGCUCGAACCCUAAUACGAACUAAUCCGAUUCAGUCUACUAGAGCCUAAAUCCCAACACCAGCCAAUCUAAAUUAAUAUAGCAGUGUCUGAACCCCAACACCAGCCCUUUGUCACCCGGACUCAAAUCUACCCUAUCUACUACUUAUCUACCAGAAUUCACACAAAAUUAGAGUCAUAUUUUGUAAAUGUGCUGAGUGGCAUGGCUUUUGUUUGUGGUAAUAAAUCUCGCUUUUAAUUUUUAUAAUUUAGAUUG